CGACCCCUAAGGCGAGGCCGAAAGGCGUAGUCGAUGGGAAACGGGUUAAUAUUCCCGUACUUGGUGUUACUGCGAAGGGGGGACGGAGAAGGCUAUGUUGGCCGGGCGACGGUUGUCCCGGUUUAAGCGUGUAGGUGUGUGUUCCAGGUAAAUCCGGUUCACUUUAACACUGAGGCGUGAUGACGAGGCACUACGGUGCUGAAGCAACAAAUGCCCUGCUUCCAGGAAAAGCCUCUAAGCAUCAGGUAACAUCAAAUCGUACCCCAAACCGACACAGGUGGUCAGGUAGAGAAUACCAAGGCGCUUGAGAGAACUCGGGUGAAGGAACUAGGCAAAAUGGUGCCGUAACUUCGGGAGAAGGCACGCUGACACGUAGGUGAAGUGAUUUACUCAUGGAGCUGAAGUCAGUCGAAGAUACCAGCUGGCUGCAACUGUUUAUUAAAAACACAGCACUGUGCAAACACGAAAGUGGACGUAUACGGUGUGACGCCUGCCCGGUGCCGGAAGGUUAAUUGAUGGGGUCAGCGCAAGCGAAGCUCCUGAUCGAAGCCCCGGUAAACGGCGGCCGUAACUAUAACGGUCCUAAGGUAGCGAAAUUCCUUGUCGGGUAAGUUCCGACCUGCACGAAUGGCGUAAUGAUGGCCAGGCUGUCUCCACCCGAGACUCAGUGAAAUUGAACUCGCUGUGAAGAUGCAGUGUACCCGCGGCAAGACGGAAAGACCCCGUGAACCUUUACUAUAGCUUGACACUGAACAUUGAGCCUUGAUGUGUAGGAUAGGUGGGAGGCUUUGAAGUGUGGACGCCAGUCUGCAUGGAGCCGACCUUGAAAUACCACCCUUUAAUGUUUGAUGUUCUAACGUGGACCCGUAAUCCGGGUUGCGGACAGUGUCUGGUGGGUAGUUUGACUGGGGCGGUCUCCUCCUAAAGAGUAACGGAGGAGCACGAAGGUUGGCUAAUCCUGGUCGGACAUCAGGAGGUUAGUGCAAUGGCAUAAGCCAGCUUGACUGCGAGCGUGACGGCGCGAGCAGGUGCGAAAGCAGGUCAUAGUGAUCCGGUGGUUCUGAAUGGAAGGGCCAUCGCUCAACGGAUAAAAGGUACUCCGGGGAUAACAGGCUGAUACCGCCCAAGAGUUCAUAUCGACGGCGGUGUUUGGCACCUCGAUGUCGGCUCAUCACAUCCUGGGGCUGAAGUAGGUCCCAAGGGUAUGGCUGUUCGCCAUUUAAAGUGGUACGCGAGCUGGGUUUAGAACGUCGUGAGACAGUUCGGUCCCUAUCUGCCGUGGGCGCUGGAGAACUGAGGGGGGCUGCUCCUAGUACGAGAGGACCGGAGUGGACGCAUCACUGGUGUUCGGGUUGUCAUGCCAAUGGCACUGCCCGGUAGCUAAAUGCGGAAGAGAUAAGUGCUGAAAGCAUCUAAGCACGAAACUUGCCCCGAGAUGAGUUCUCCCUGAGACUUAGAGUCUCCUGAAGGAACGUUGAAGACGACGACGUUGAUAGGCCGGGUGUGUAAGCGCAGCGAUGCGUUGAGCUAACCGGUACUAAUGAACCGUGAGGCUUAACCUUACAACGCCGAAG
rnacentral:rRNA from 1 species